rnacentral:SRP_RNA from 1 species
GGGUCCCCCCGCAAUGAUAACCUGUGAACUCGGCCAGGCCCGGAAGGGAGCAACCGCAGCAGGCGACUCGUGUGCCGGGGUGUGGCUC